UAAAUUUCUGGUUUGCCAUUUCUUAUCAUUAUCGUAUUAGAAAAUUUUCCUUAAAAGAUUAUGCACAAAAUCUUGAUUUCAUGAUGACCAGGUCCUAAUAUUAGAUUCGGAAAAUGAUCCAGUUACCCUUCAAAAACCUAUGGAUUUCAGACACUAUUGCUCCCAAACCCUAACAUAUAUAAAUUUGUUACUAGGAAUCAAACAGGGUGAUGAACUUCUUUACAUGGAGGAAUGUCAACGUUUUCAGUUAUAAGAUUCUUAGUAUUCAAGUGGAUGCCAUUUUUGUGUACACGAAGCAAGGACAAAAUGACGUCACUUUUGUCUCCUGCCCAACCCUCCGAUAUUUCCAUUCACAAACGAAAACAGCACAAGUGCGUACCAAUUACUCCAAGUUAAAAUCAUCCUAUGAAGGUUUUUCUUUUCUCAGCUUCUUGUUUAGAUUAUGUUCUUUAUUAGAAGAUGCUUGGAUUAUCUCAUAACGAAUUAAGAUGAAUAAGUUUUAUUAUUGCAUUUUUACAUCCGAUACACGUAUGAGAUUUCGUGGUAAUAUAUUUAAUUUUUUUUUAUCUAACUUGAAACUCAAAAUUCAUUAUGGAACCAGGGAAACAGAAUCGUUUUGAUUGUUAGUUCUGUUAUGUUAUUCGUCCCUCUCAUUGUCUUGUUGAUCCGUGCACACAACCUGUUUGACAAAAUGCCAACGCAACUGUAUCUUCACAGUUUUACAAUUAAUAAUACAAUUCUACUUUACCUUGUAGAUUCACUAAACAGUCACAGAGUACAACUAAACACAGAGCUCUAAGACAUUGAAUGAAAGAGCUCAAAAUCAGAAACAGACACAGCAAGACCUCGAAUAGAUCCAGCUGCAGCAAGAAGUGCAACAAUCAAGCAUGUCAAGC
rnacentral:lncRNA from 1 species